rnacentral:rRNA from 1 species
GACGAACGCUGGCGGCGUGCCUAAUACAUGCAAGUAGAACGCACAGUUUAUACCGUAGCUUGCUACACCAUAGACUGUGAGUUGCGAACGGGUGAGUAACGCGUAGGUAACCUGCCUGGUAGCGGGGGAUAACUAUUGGAAACGAUAGCUAAUACCGCAUAAUAUUAAUUAUUGCAUGAUAAUUAAUUGAAAGGUGCAAUUGCACCACUACCAGAUGGACCUGCGUUGUAUUAGCUAGUAGGUGAGGUAACGGCUCACCUAGGCGACGAUACAUAGCCGACCUGAGAGGGUGAUCGGCCACACUGGGACUGAGACACGGCCCAGACUCCUACGGGAGGCAGCAGUAGGGAAUCUUCGGCAAUGGACGAAAGUCUGACCGAGCAACGCCGCGUGAGUGAAGAAGGUUUUCGGAUCGUAAAGCUCUGUUGUAAGAGAAGAACGGGUGUGAGAGUGGAAAGUUCACACUGUGACG